rnacentral:lncRNA from 1 species
AAAUAUGCAAUUUGAAUCGUUAGCUCUAGAAUAAAGAGAAUCAUAAAGUAAAUUGCUAGCAUUUUACAUAACACUCUUCUGAAUAAAAAAGGCCGACAUCUCUUCUCAGCCAAACAUUGUACAAAAUUGUGUCAAAGAGGUUAACCAAUACAUUAGCAAUAUAAUCAGUGAACUGACUUUUAAACACGUUACAGCAAAACGAAAUUUCACAGUUGGCCUACCUUGAUUCCAAGCUCAAAAAUCACAUUUAGAAACUUCCAAUUCAAAGCUAAAAACAUCAAACCACAUAGCAGACUGAAACAACAAGUUGGAUAAUCCUACCAUACAAACUAUGCCCUUUUUUUUUUCUUGUGAAACCUCAGUCCAUAAUGAAUUCAACGUAUCAGUACCUCAGAGCAGCAGAUUCUCUGAUCGCCUCAUCAAGCACUUCUAGCUUAUUAAAAGUGUUAUUACAUGGCAGAGUCACAACAAUCUCUCUAGAAAGUAUGAGAGAAAUGUUUCCUGGAUGUUGUAGCCUGCAGCUUCUCCUUUGCAGAUCAUUCGGCACUUGAGAUUGUGCUAGAGUGGCAAAGGGGCAUCACUUGCCGGCAAAGAAGUCCACGGGACACUUGGGAGUUGGGACAUAUAUUAACUUUGGGAAGAAGUGAAACUGACCGUAGUGAAGCAACGGCAAGGCUUUGAAGCCAAGCAAGUAGCUACUUGAAAGAAGUUAGCAGAAGUGGAGAAAAGAAAGCACAAUUGGCCAUUGCCCUCUCAAUCAAGGAGCUGAUCGAAUUCCUUGACCUCAUGUUCUAUUACAGAAGACUUGAUUGAAGUUAUGGACUGGUCAGCAGGCCCCUUACUGUUCCUACUGAAGAAGGGAUGUUUCUGCACGGAUCCCAUGAAGCCGCCACUGUAUUCCUAGACCUCAAAAAGGCCAUGAUAUAGGCACAACUCCGGAUUUUACCAAAACCUCUAUUGUAAAAGUGCAUAACAAAAAGUAAAAGGACGCAUAAUGUGGUGAUGCAAAAAGGGAAACCUAUUACAUUUCCUUGUCAAGCACUUAGCAUCAAACAUCAAGGUCUCCCGACCUAUGGAGAAGAGCUCAUAGACCUCUCACUAGCUGUAAUAAAAUGUAGACAACAUGUACACCUGUUUCAUUUUAUCAUCAAGAUUGAUCAUUUCAGCUUAAAGUAUCUAAGGACGCAAAC